GCAAGUCGAGCGGAAACGAGAAUAGCUUGCUAUUCGGCGUCGAGCGGCGGACGGGUGAGUAAUGCUUGGGAAUAUGCCUUGAGGUGGGGGACAACAGUUGGAAACGACUGCUAAUACCGCAUAAUGUCUACGGACCAAAGUGGGGGACCUUCGGGCCUCACGCCAUAAGAUUAGCCCAAGUGGGAUUAGCUAGUUGGUGAGGUAAUGGCUCACCUAGGCGACGAUCCCUAGCUGUUCUGAGAGGAUGAUC
rnacentral:rRNA from 1 species